GACGAACGCCGCAGGCGAGCCUAAUACCUGCAAGUCGAGCGAAGUUUCUCUGGUGCUUGCCACUAGAAAAAUUAGCGGCGACCGGGUGAGUAACCACGUAAAGAACAUGCCUCAUAGCCUGGGACAACUAUUGGAAACGAUAGCUACUACCGGAUAACAGUAUUUCUCGCAUGAGAGAUAUUUAAAAAGUUGGUUAUGCUAACACUAUGAGAAGGCUUGCGGUGCAUUAGCUAGUUGGUGGGGUAAAGGCCCACCAAGGCGACGAUGCAUAGCCGACCUGAGAGGGUGAUCGGCCACACUGGGACUGAGACACGGCCCAGACUCCUACGGGAGGCAGCAGUAGGGAAUCUUCCGCAAUGGGCGACAGCCUGACGGAGCAACGCCGCGUGAGUGAAGAAGGAUUUCGGUUCGUAAAGCUCUGUUGUUAGGGAAGAAUGGAUAUGUAGUAACUAUACAUGUAAGAGACGGUACCUAACCAGAAAGCCACGGCUAACUACGUGCCAGCAGCCGCGGUAAUACGUAGGUGGCAAGCGUUGUCCGGAAUUAUUGGGCGUAAAGCGCGCGCAGGUGGUUUAAUAAGUCUGAUGUGAAAGCCCACGGCUCAACCGUGGAGGGUCAUUGGAAACUGUUAAACUUGAGUGCAGGAGAGAAAAGUGGAAUUCCUAGUGUAGCGGUGAAAUGCGUAGAGAUUAGGAGGAACACCAGUGGCGAAGGCGGCUUUUUGGCCUGUAACUGACACUGAGGCGCGAAAGCGUGGGGAGCAAACAGG
rnacentral:rRNA from 1 species